rnacentral:rRNA from 1 species
UACGAGUGCCCCAAGCGUUAUCCGGAAUUAUUGGGCGUAAAGGGCGCGUAGGCGGCUUGGCAAGUGGAUGGUGAAAUCCCUCGGCUUAACCGAGGAACUGCCGUCCAAACUGCUUCGCUUGAGACCGGGAGAGGUGAGUGGAAUUCCCAGUGUAGCGGUGAAAUGCGUAGAUAUUGGGAGGAACACCAGUGGCGAAGGCGGCUCACUGGACCGGUACUGACGCUGAUGCGCGAAAGCGUGGGGAGCAAACGGG